rnacentral:tRNA from 1 species
GGAGGGGUGGCCGAGCGGUUGAAGGCGCGCGCCUGGAAAGCGCGUAUAGGGUUAACGCCCUAUCGUGGGUUCGAAUCCCACUCCCUCCGCCA